rnacentral:rRNA from 1 species
AUUGAACGCUGGCGGCAGGCUUAACACAUGCAAGUCGAGCGGGGGAAGGUAGCUUGCUACCGGACCUAGCGGCGGACGGGUGAGUAAUGCUUAGGAAUCUGCCUAUUAGUGGGGGACAACGUCUCGAAAGGGAUGCUAAUACCGCAUACGUCCUACGGGAGAAAGCAGGGGAUCUUCGGACCUUGCGCUAAUAGAUGAGCCUAAGUCGGAUUAGCUAGUUGGUGGGGUAAAGGCCUACCAAGGCGACGAUCUGUAGCGGGUCUGAGAGGAUGAUCCGCCACGCUGGGACUGAGACACGGGCCAGACUCCUACGGGAGGCAGCAGUGGGGAAUAUUGGACAAUGGGGGGAACCCUGAUCCAGCCAUGCCGCGUGUGUGAAGAAGGCCUUAUGGUUGUAAAGCACUUUAAGCGAGGAGGAGGCUACUUUAGUUAAUACCUAGAGAUAGUGGACGUUACUCGCAGAAUAAGCACCGGCUAACUCUGUGCCAGCAGCCGCGGUAA